UUACCAACUUUGCUAAUAAGU
rnacentral:piRNA from 1 species